GACGUAGGGCGCGAGCGUUGUCCGGAUUUAUUGGGCGUAAAGAGCUCGUAGGCGGCUUGUCGCGUCGAAUGUGAAAACCCACGGCUCAACUGUGGGCUUGCAUUCGAUACGGGCAGGCUAGAGUUCGGUAGGGGAGACUGGAAUUCCUGGUGUAGCGGUGAAAUGCGCAGAUAUCAGGAGGAACACCGGUGGUGUAGACGGCUCUCUGGACCGUAACUGACGCUGAGACACGAAAGCGUGGGUAGCAAACAGG
rnacentral:rRNA from 1 species